rnacentral:rRNA from 1 species
GACGAAGGAUGCAAGCGUUAUCCGGAUUCAUUGGGUUUAAAGGGUGCGCAGGCGGAGCUUUAAGUCAGUGGUGAAAUCUCCUCGCUCAACGAGGAAACUGCCAUUGAUACUGAAGUUCUUGUAUAUGGUUGAUGUGGGCGGAAUGUGUCAUGUAGCGGUGAAAUGCUUAGAUAUGACACAGAACACCGAUCGCGAAGGCAGUUCACAAAGCCAUUAUUGACGCUCAGGCACGAAAGCAUGGGGAGCAAAAGGG